rnacentral:rRNA from 1 species
GAUGAACGCUGGCGGCGUGCCUAAUACAUGCAAGUCGAGCGAACGGACGAGAAGCUUGCUUCUCUGAUGUUAGCGGCGGACGGGUGAGUAACACGUGGAUAACCUACCUAUAAGACUGGGAUAACUUCGGGAAACCGUAGCUAAUACCGGAUAAUAUUUUGAACCGCAUGGUUCAAAAGUGAAAGACGGUCUUGCUGUCACUUAUAGAUGGAUCCGCGCUGCAUUAGCUAGUUGGUAAGGUAACGGCUUACCAAGGCAACGAUGCAUAGCCGACCUGAGAGGGUGAUCGGCCACACUGGAACUGAGACCCGGUCCAGACUCCUACGGGAGGCAGCAGUAGGGAAUCUUCCGCAAUGGGCGAAAGCCUGACGGGGCAACGCCGCGUGGGGGAUGAAGGUCUUCGGAUCGUAAAACUCUGUUAUUAGGGAAGAACAUAUGUGUAAGUAACUGUGCACAUCUUGACGGUACCUAAUCAGAAAGCCACGGCUAACUACGUG